GUGGGGAAUAUUGGGCAAUGGGCGCAAGCCUGACCCAGCAACGCCGCGUGAGGGAAGAAGGCUUUCGGGUUGUAAACCUCUGUCCUUGGUGACGAAAAAAAUGACGGUAGCCAAGGAGGAAGCCCCGGCUAACUACGUGCCAGCAGCCGCGGUAAUACGUAGGGGGCGAGCGUUGUCCGGAAUUACUGGGCGUAAAGGGUGCGUAGGUGGCCUUUUAAGUUGGAUGUGAAAUACCCGGGCUUAACUUGGGGGGUGCAUCCAAAACUGGGAGGCUAGAGUGCAGGAGAGGAAAGCGGAAUUCCUAGUGUAGCGGUGAAAUGCGUAGAUAUUAGGAGGAACACCAGUGGCGAAGGCGGCUUUCUGGACUGUAACUGACACUGAGGCACGAAAGCGUGGGGAGCAAACAGGAUUAGAAACCCCGGUAGUCC
rnacentral:rRNA from 1 species